GGCCGCGGGAAUUCGAUUCAGGCCUAACACAUGCAAGUCGAGCGGUAGAGAGAAGCUUGCUUCUCUUGAGAGCGGCGGACGGGUGAGUAAUGCCUAGGAAUCUGCCUGGUAGUGGGGGAUAACGUUCGGAAACGGACGCUAAUACCGCAUACGUCCUACGGGAGAAAGCAGGGGACCUUCGGGCCUUGCGCUAUCAGAUGAGCCUAGGUCGGAUUAGCUAGUUGGUGAGGUAAUGGCUCACCAAGGCUACGAUCCGUAACUGGUCUGAGAGGAUGAUCAGUCACACUGGAACUGAGACACGGUCCAGACUCCUACGGGAGGCAGCAGUGGGGAAUAUUGGACAAUGGGCGAAAGCCUGAUCCAGCAAGGCCGCGUGUGUGAAGAAGGUCUUCGGA
rnacentral:rRNA from 1 species